rnacentral:rRNA from 1 species
GAUGAACGCUGGCGGCGUGCCUAAUACAUGCAAGUCGAGCGAACGGAUGAGAAGCUUGCUUCUCUGAUGUUAGCGGCGGACGGGUGAGUAACACGUGGAUAACCUACCUAUAAGACUGGGAUAACUUCGGGAAACCGGGGCUAAUACCGGAUAAUAUUUUGAACCGCAUGGUUCAAAAGUGAAAGACGGUCUUGCUGUCACUUAUAGAUGGAUCCGCGCUGCAUUAGCUAGUUGGUAAGGUAACGGCUUACCAAGGCAACGAUGCAUAGCCGACCUGAGAGGGUGAUCGGCCACACUGGAACUGAGACACGGUCCAGACUCCUACGGGAGGCAGCAGUAGGGAAUCUUCCGCAAUGGGCGAAAGCCUGACGGAGCAACGCCGCGUGAGUGAUGAAGGUCUUCGGAUCGUAAAACUCUGUUAUUAGGGAAGAACAUAUGUGUAAGUAACUGUGCACAUCUUGACGGUACCUAAUCAGAAAGCCACGGCUAACUACGUG